rnacentral:rRNA from 1 species
CUCAGUUCGGAUUGGAGUCUGCAACCCGGCUCCAUGAAGCUGGAUUCGCUAGUAAUCGCGCAUCAGCCACGGCGCGGUGAAUACGUUCCCGGGCCUUGUACACACCGCCCGUCAAGCCAUGGGAGCCGGGGGUGCCUGAAGUGCGUGAGCGCAAGCAGCGCCCUAAGGUAAAACCGGUGACUGGGGCUAAGUCGUAACAAGGUAUC